AUGCAUUUUCUUCAAAUCCCUAUCAAAACAUACUAAUAAGAGAAUCCUGACUACGUAGCAAAUUACAUCGUUGAAUUUACAAUAUUACAUUAAAACGUAAAUUAAAUAUUAUGAAUACUUUUUAAGCACGAGAAAAGAUGGAAUCCAUAAAGAUUCCGAGAAGUAAUCUUCUUAUAUACGAAAGAACGUUCCCUCAUUAGAGCAAAAAUUCCACUUUGAUCCACGAUUCGCGUGCACCGUCGGAUGUCUCUUCGACGAACUUUUCCGAACGCAAUCGCUUAUAUCCUCUUACGAAGCUGCUUAGCUUUGGUUCCUUUGAAGGGAUGUUUUCUCUAGCCCCAUACCACCAUUCGAACGUAGCUUCGUAAAACUGUACUAUAUGAGUCUCGAGCAGAUUCGUCGUCAUGGCCAUUAUAACUUUUGUCUUCAUUCUUUCCCUUUCCGUUUAAUAUCGAUCAGCUGACAAACACGGUAUUGAACAAGGUAUCAGAGAAAAGUAGAGAAAAGGACGAUGUUUCAAAAGGAAAUACCUUGCUGGUUAUUCCAGCACGAUAAUAUAUGGUAUUUCCUAGAAGCAUUGCAGAAGUUUUGGAAGACGUUGAUAAUCUUUGAUAACACAAUAUCACCGCUGGAUAACGUGUAAUUAAAUGUAUGCUCUCUAUGCAUGAGAAAUAUGGAUAUGUAUUGUUUUUUCACUUUUCAAAAUUCGCGCUAUAAUAUAAACCAUUACGUCCCUGUCGAUGUAUUGUAACAAAAAACUUAAAAUUUCAAAAGAAGAUCAGAUACUUCUCAUGUUGAUCACUUCGCCGAAUCUACUAUUUUUAUUAUGAAAAAAAGAAAACGGAAAAAAAAUUUUGUUGCAUAAAUAACAUUUUUGGCUGACGUUUGACAGAUGGAAAUUAAAAAUGUGGGUAAUAACGUUCACAAGAUCUUUUAAUUAUGAGAAAAUAGCAACAAAAAAUUAAUUUCUUUUCAUUUAAUAUUAACUCUUGGUAGGACGCUACCAAUUAAUCGAAGCAAAAGCAUGUCUUACAAUACACAGUUAUGCACUGUCGUUUAUUUCAUAUGGUAGGUAACAGCAAAGGGCAAUAGUAACUCGAAUCAAAAGGGAUUGGUAUUUCUCCCCAAUCAUUUCCUUUUCGGCUCUUUCGAUCGCGGAAUAGGAAGCUUUGAUUGAAUUGUGUAAAGGGCAUUCAAAUGAAUUUCGCGAAAAGAAAAGUAAAUAUAACGAAUGAUUAUCUCUCAAUCCAUAUUCUUUGGCACUGUGUAAUAAAGAAAGAGAGAGGCUUCUUAACUUAAAUAAACAGAGAAUAAAAGGUAAUAUUACGAAACAAAUUUUCAAGGAAUCUUUUUUACUCGAAAUUAAUACUAACUGUUAAAUAUUUUUAUCGACAUAAAUAGAAAAAAUAUUGAAAGCCGAUUAUCAAAAUUCUGUAUUUAAUUUCUAAUUGUAUAUUGUAAAGAAACAAUGGGUGAAAAAACAAGAAAGAUCAGAAACAAAAAAAGGUAAAUAAUUAGUCCUGUCAAUAUAGAACCAUUCGAAAAUUUACUUUCUCACGACCCAUGACAUUUUCGCUCUUUCUAUCGUGUAAUACGUGGUAUUGAUUGAUCGGCUUAUAAUGUAAUAAUCCCUUCCACCGUGCCACGCCUCGGAACUUUGCUGGGUCUUUGGACGUAACGAUUUGGGGAAGUCUCAUCUGCAAAUGUCAUCCUUUCAAUGAUUUUUAAUUUUUAACGAGUAAUGUGCAAGUAAGUGCUAAAUAAUCGCGUCUACACUCCAUACGUCCCAAAGAAAACUUACAAGCAAUCCAAACGAGAUACAGAAGAUGAAACGCAGGCGAAAGCAGUUCCAACAGCCUUGAAGUGUUGCAAAGAAGCAGAAUUGAUUGUUAUCUGAAUUGUAAUUACUUUUAGAGAAGAUACGAGAAUUUCAAAUGUGCUCUACUUCAUGAUUAAACAUUCGACAUCCGAAGUGAAACACAUUCAUAUUGCACUUCCUGUUCAUUUUUAAAUCAGAUGAUAGGUCCUACAUAGAUAAUAUAAAUGUCCGACGACCAACCAGAUAACGAAACGAAAACAUUUUUCUCUUUUAUCUUAUAUUUAAAUGGUCAAUCAAUCAAUGCUGUAUUUAUCGAAUGUUACUGAAUUUUCACAAAGAUUUUAUGAUGGCGACAGAAGUAUUGCUACUGAUGAGAGGGACAUUAGGUCUCUUAACUGUAGCUAUCCUUAAGGUAUUGCAUUAGUUUAUAUAAAUCAAGAAUCCAUAUAUCUUUCAACUAAUCUAAUGAAGAAUAUUAGAUAUGGGAAGCGAGAUGCUUGAUGAAGAAGAACAGAUUGUAAAAGCGGCGGAAGAAGCUAAUGCUGCUCACGAAUUUAUUACAAUAAUUUAUUACAAAUGAUGUGAAACCCAAGUUGGAGAAAAAGAAAGCUAAUUAUAUGGUGCCUGAAAACAAUGUUGCUAUUGCUAGAGCAUUAUUAUAGCAACAAUCGACUUUAAUAUUAAAUUUUAAUAAACGAGUGCAUCGUAAAAGCAAAAGAUGAGUUCAAGAAGCAGUUGGAAAUCAUAACCAAAGAAGGAACAUCGUUAACUAUUGCACUUGUGUACAUGUUGUGAUUGGGACUACCUAGGAGAAGGGAAAAGAAGAAAAAAUAUUUGUGUUUUUCCAACAUAGUUUGGAAAGACCAAUAUGGUGCUAUUUUAUAAAGCUUGAAACGGCGGUACGAGGAAAUGGGAGGGAUUUAGCUUAUUCAAAAGAACCAAACGUGAACGGCUUUAGUUGGAGGGUAUAUGCGAUUGUGCUCAGAAAGUUUUGUAGAAGGGGCGUACGAAGUUCGACGCGGGGCAAGGGUCAAAGGGGAAUUGACAUGAAACUGAGGUGAUACAUCACUUAAAACAAAUUAACAUGGAGGGUUGAUGAAAAGAUUCACCAUUUGUGGAAGUAAUAAUGUUAGCAGGGGAAUACUUUUAAAUUAUACGGGAAAUGGAAAAUCCACGUUCACGUCACCGUUAUUCCAUCAAUUUAAAUUAGGUAACCGUUCGAUAUAAUUAGAAAAGAAGAAAUGUUGAAUUCUAUAUUUCGAAUUGUUUGUCAUAAUAUUCACAUGUACUUAAAAAAUAUUCGUAAUAUUUAAUUAGCGAUUUUCAUAAAUAUUGAAAUUUGGAGGACAUAGUUUGGUGCGUAGCGCGAAUCACCUGUUAUUAAUGUUUUCCCGUACUUAUCGUCAAGUACUUUCGAUUUAAACUUUUCGUUAUUAUCCCUCUCUUUCGGCGUGUGCUCUCGUGCGCGUAUAUCUGCGCCAGUCGAGUGGCCGGAAUUGAGUGCCCUUGUGUACUGUGUUGGUGUAUGCGAAUAACUCCUGUCUUAUCUUGAUAAUAAGGAAAAUAUGUUUUCAUUUAAUUUCCUAUCAUCAGACCAAGCAGAUAAUUGGAGAUUAGCUCUAUAGUUCAAUUGCCUAUUAAGAUUCAUCGUUUGAAAACCCGGUUACUUAUUUUGCAAAGCUAUGGACUAUUUUCUUAGGAACAAAUUGCUUUGGAACAUAAUAUACGAAAUAUUAGAUGACUGGAGGUAUAAUGGGAUUAUUGUUUUACAUUCUCCAAUAGGGAGUAAAUUUCUAGGAAAAUAUAACUGUUUAUAUAGAAGAAUCAAAUCAGUCGUGGUAGAUGGAUCUGCAAAAAACUUAACCAGGUAAUUAUAUGAUACAGCUAUAUAGAUAAUUGAAUUAUACCGCUAAUCGUAUUAUCGAAUUGUUUGCUUGGUUUUAUGAGAGGAAAACUAAUGAAAAAAUACCUUCUUGUUUUGAAAACAUGAGAGAUGUACGCAGACACGCUCACUCAUUCCCACCCACUUGAUCUCGCGUACGUAAGCACGCAUAUAAGCGCGCACGUGCGAGAGAGGUAAUAAUAAAUCGUUUAAUAUGAUGGUGCUGGAUGGUAAGUACGAGAGAAGGUGGUGCGUACGUGCAGAUCGUACGUUAAAUCCCAAUCAAUACCCGUUGACGGGAAUUUGUAGACAUGAGGGAUCAUAUAUUUUUGCAAAAAAAUCAAAAUUUUGACCAUUAUAACUUUCUACGAUCCCUAUGAUCUAUUUAUGACCUAUAUUAUGAUCUCUACAAACAAUUCUCUUUCCACAUCAUCAUCCCUCGCAUUAUGUAUGAGAUAUCUCCGUUUUUUUGUUGGUUGUCAUCACUAUCACUCUUAUCGUUUUCUUCCCGAAUAAUAUUUAUUUUUUCUAACGUAUUUGUAUAAAUGUCUAUCUGGAUUUCCUCUUCCGUAUUACUUAUGACACGAAACUUGCUAGUGUUUCGUUAUUUUGCCAUUCUCUUAAUGAAAAAGAACGAAAUAAUUGAGAGCGUUGGUAGUCUCAAAUUGUAUAUUACGAAAAAACGAAACGAUAUAUAAGAAAAGAAUAUUACUCUUCUGAUUUUCUUAUUAGUCCAGGGAACUAUAUUUUACUAGAAGUUUCUGUUUCACUUGAAAUGAGUUCAGCUUCGAAAAUAUCUCCUCAGUUUUAUGAUUACUUGUUUACUCCAUCAAAUAUCAAUGCAUCGUACGAAGCGUACUCGCGUACAACUGCUGACAAGUCCUUGUCACUUUAUUUAAGCGGUUUAAAGAAGCCCUUAGACGUUUGUGGAUGUACUUCUUUUCCGUAAAACCGAUUGAUACUCUUUUCAUAUAACUUGGUAAUUUGACCAUUUCUUGAUUAACUAUCUGAGUGGUUCUCACGGAGGGGAAAUACGGAAAAGAGAAGAAGGUAAUAUUAGGAAACCAUAAAUGUGACGAAAGAUUUUCUCCGAAUACAUUUCUUAUUAUUGUGUAGUAGCGAAAAUACCAUCUUCGAUAAUUUGAGCAAUAUGCAUCUGUUUACAAGAAAAGAAGGUAAUAUUUGGAGAAAAUUUUUUUAAGCAAAAUGAUAGUAGAUAUAAAUUCCGAUGAAAAAAUUUUUUUACGACGGAAGAUUUAACAAUAAGAAUUGCAUAGUCUUUACAUAGUACGAAAAUUGAUAGUGAUAUCAUUAAUAUCUAAUAAUAUUAGAAUCAACAUUUUUUCUGUUUUUAAUUAUAUUGAAUAAUUAUUUAAAUUGACUGAAUGACCUAAACGUGGACUUCAUAUUUCAUGUAUAGUUUAAAUCUAUUUCGAUUUUAAAGUAUUUCACAUAUAUUUUUAAGUAUUUAAUACUACUAUAUCGAGUAACGGUGAAUGUUUUAAUCGUCCCAGCAGCUUUAAUUCUUUUCCAAUAUAAACCUGCCUCCGUUCCAUUUCGAUUCCCCUUUGAAUAAGGUUCCGCUUGCAACAUCGGACGGCCCUUCGACAAAUCUUUCUGAGCACAAUCGAUUGUAUCCUCUAGCUAAAACCCACUUCGAUCCUUUGAGAAGGAGAUAUUCCGUCUCUUCAUAUAACCAUUUGAAUGAAAGAUUCGAAAACAGUGCUGUAUUAAUCUCGUCCAUGUUCGUAGUCACUGCCUCUAUAAAUUUUUUCUUCCUGCUUUAUUUUAGUUACAUAAUGAACAGCAUACGGAUCUUUACGGAUAAGUUAAAGACAUGGACGAUUUUUCGAAACGAAAUAUUUGGCCUUUAAAUCUAACACGUCGCUUUAUAGCAUCUCCAGGAAGCAUUAAAAGUUUUGAGAGACGUUGAUAAUCUUAGAAAGUACGACAUUGUAUUAUUAGAAAAAGAAAUAAGUAAACGUGUGGAAGGCUCACAUUGUAUAUUUCGACAUCACGAAACAGUAUACACCAAAAGAAUAUUAUACUCCGAUUUUCUGACUUAUUAGUUCUAGGAUCUUUCUAAAAUUAUAAUAUCAGUAAACAAAGAAAUAUGACGAACGAUUUCUUCCGCAUACGACAGAAGAGUUUACAAUAAGAUUUUUCAUAGUAUGAAAAUUGUAAUAUGAUUAAUAUCUAAUAACAUUAGAACACUAUUUUUAAAUAAAAGUUGGACUUACGAAAGAAUUAACAUUACGAAUUUUGUAUAUGAAUUUACGAUUAAUUUCAUAGCAAUUAGUGUUGAUAAUUACAAUAAUUAUUAUUAUAAUAAUUAAUUAUAUUAUAAAUAAUUACAAUUUUAUGUGAUUAUUGCAAUUAAAAAAGAGACAAAUUAUUGUAAGAUUCUCAUGAGGAGAUUCCAAGAUACAUAAGAUAAUUUCGCGUGUACAUAGAGUAUAUAUAAAUAUAACUACAUAACUAUAGGAGAGGGGAAAUUUUCUAUCCCCGUGCGUUCUAGCUACAAAAUUAGAAUCUAGGAAACUUGAUAUUUUAGAGAUUAAUUUCGGCAGGGGUUUUUUCCGUGGUUUUCGAACCAGUAAUAAGCAAAUGAGAGCCAUACGCGAAAUAAUCCCUAGCCGUAUAUACUUCAUACAUUCCAAAGAAUACUUUUACAAAUAAUUCAAACGAUGAAAACAAUUUCAUCAUUUAGACUAGUCAUUCGUUUAUUCCAUCAAUAAUCUUUAAAUUUAGCAGUAGGUAUUAGUAUAACAUUUAUUGUAAAAUUUCGUUUCUAUAUUUUAUUUUGAAAUUGAAAUUGAUUUUCUUGAUUUAUAUCAUUUUAAUUAUUAUUUUGUUGCGUUUAGGAAAAGUUGCUGUAACAUUUAAAAGGCAUUACCUGAUUUAUUUUCGGUAAUUAUACAAUUAAAAUGAACGAAUGACUUUGUUAAGUCUUAACCAGUCUAUGAAUUUUAACCUAUUUUAGAGAUACUUUUCCAUAAAACCGACUAAUAUUCUUUUCAUAUAACUUGAUAAUUGGACCAUUCCUUGAUUAACUAACUGAGUGGUUCUUUCGGCGGGGAAAUACGGGAAAGAGAAGAAGGUAAUAUUAGGAAACCAUAAAUGUUCUCCGAGUGCAAAGAAGGAAAGUGAUAUAUGGAGAAAAUGUUUUCCAGGAAUAUGGAAGUAGAUAUAAUUUCCGACGAAAAAAUUUUUGUAUAAAAGAAGAUUUUACGAUAAGAAUUACAUUGUUCAAAAAUUGUAAUAUCAUUAAUAUCUAAUAAUAUUAAAACACUAUUAUUAAGCAUAACUUGAAACAAGAAAAGAAGAAACAUUACAAAUUUUUUAUACGAAUUGACGAAUAAUUUCAUAGCAAUCAAUUCAAUAUAACGUUAAUAAUUACAAUAAUUAUUAUUUUUGGAGUUAUUAUUAAAAUAAUUAUCAAUAAUAAUUAAUUAUAUUAUAAAUAAUUACAGUUUUUCAUGAUUAUUUCCAUUAAAAACGGAACUAAUAAUUGUCAACAAAUAAUUACCGUUAUAUUUGUAAAUCCAAGUUAUACUUAAAAAUAUUGUUAUAUUACUAUUGGAUAUGGACGAUACUACUAUUUUCGUAUUACGUAAUUCCUUUUGUGAAAUCUUCUCUUGUAAAAUAUUUCUUCGUCGGAAGGUAUAUCUUCUUCGGCAUUCCUUGAAAACAUUGUAUCCAAUAUUACCUUUUCCUCUUGUAAACAAAUACCUAUUGCUUAAGUUAACAAAGACCUCCUUUUCUUUAUUACGCAAUAGUAAUAAAAUAUAUGGCUUUAGAUAAAAUCUUUUCACAUAUUUAUUUUUUUUUUUUUUUCGUAAUAUUACUUUCUUUCCUUUUACAUAUUUCUUCUCCGGGAGGACCUCAGAAUUAUUUAAUGAUUAUGGAGGAACCACUGUUUUUAUCGUAAUUUUUUGGAAAAUACAUAUUUCUCUGAAAUUUUCUAUUGGAACAGUAUAAUAAAACUAAUAAAAAAAUCGUCCAAUUACUAAGUUAUAUGAAAAGAAUAUCAGUCGAUUGUACGAAAGAGAAGAGGAUGGGUGCUUUCACGACAAUCUGAGCCCUUCUCUGAUCCGCUUAAGGAGGGUUGUACGAAGAACUUGUAUAUAUAGUGAAAUUAGAUGAAGAAAACAACCGAUCCUAAUUUCGGGGAAAGAGAUUUUCAAAGCUGCAAUCAGUUCGUAUUGAAGCUUCGAAUAGUAUAAAUAGAUCCCUUGACUAAAUUGUCAAAAAAACAGGAAAUUAUUAUAUUAUUGUUAUGUAUCAUUCCGUGAUUUCGUAAAAUGCAAUUAUCUCCAUUUCAUUCAUUUAUCCAUUUUUUUUUUUUUUUUUUUUAUUACGAAGACGACAGUGUCCAAAUAAACACAAGUCUCGUGAUAUAAGAUAUAAGUAGUGAAAAAGAAUUGUAGAAAGGCGUUGAUAAAGCCACUUUAGAAAAAAUAAAUAUUAAUCCGGAAGAAAACGAUAGAAGAGGUAGUUAUAUCAUCUAGUGAGAAAAAGAAUGAGAUAAGAAUGUUGUAAAAAAAAUUGCGUCAGAACUAAUCAUAGAUUUCGUAGAAAAUAAUAAGGGAUAACAUAAAAAAAAAAUUAUCAUCUAAGGUAGUGUCGAUUUAAAAUUAUUGGUAACGUUGUGACGAGAUUACCGUGGAUGACAAUAUCUCGUUAAUAUAUGAAAAAUAGUGGGAAAUAAGUGGUAGAAUAAGCUCGAUAGGAUACUUGAAUUUAUUGUAUCCUUUGAAAGGGAGUAAAAUUUGUUUAUUCAGUCGUCAUUUAAGUAAAUCCUAAAGAGAUCGAGAAAAUAUAGGCUUAGAAUAGUAUAUCAGCAAUUAAUGAAUUACGAUAAUGAAUUCUAUAUCACCUAUAUCGUUUUAAACAACAUAUACUCGAUAAGAUAAAACAUACUUGAAUUUUUUGUUUCUCACAAUUUAUUAUUUUGUUGAUUGCUUUUAUGCAAUCCUUUAUGACCGAAUUGUUAAUAGAGGGUCGUAAAACCAUUUUCGACAGACCUUCGUUACAAUUCUAUGGCAACUUGAAAAAAUUGGGAGAAUGUAGUUGUAAUUGUUCCUCUGCCUGAUGUGUUAAUGAAUGCAAUCUUGAUUGUUCUUUUCACACGGCAGAUGGAUUCUAUACAUAUAUAUACAAAUACAUUCAUAUAUAUAUAUAUAUAUAUAUAUAUAUAUAUAUAUAUAUAUAUAUACAUAUGUAUCUUACUAUAUACUAGAAUCUAAUACAUUUAUAUACAUAUUUAUUCACACAUUUGUCUACACGUUGAUAAAGUAUUUAUAUCUAUCUGAACAUCUCUAAGCAUAUGCAUGAAAAUAAAAUUAAAGAGAAACUAAAACAAUAAGUUGAAAUAAUAAAAGAGAUGUCAUUAAGAUAGAAGCAAAGAGAUAUGUAUCGCGAAGGUGUACCAAAUAAUACCCACCCCAUACUUUCAUAUAUCUGCGCAAGACAGAUAAAUGUAAACACGACUACUGAUAAAUGUUUGCUUUUCCUUUAAUUAAAAAAAAAAAUGUUAUUUAACUUAUUAUUUACGAGAAAAUCAAAAAAUCUCUUCGUAAAUAAUACUAUGGAAAAAUAAUAUAUUAAAUAAGUAAAUGAAAAUAAUACUUUAAAAAAACAUAAAUAAGUGAAAAAAAAUUGAAAUUAAAAGAAAUAAUAUUAAAGAAAAAAGCAACCAAAUAUGUAUUCGGGGAGUAUUGAAGAUAAAAAAAUAUUUAAGAUAUGGAACGAUUUUAUGUAAUAUUAACUAAUAAGAUUUUCACAUGAGUUACGAAUUGAAUUUGAUCUGAUACUCUGCCCUUACUUUUUCCCGAACUAAUUAAUUACACAAAGAAUUUCUGACAAAAUAAGAAUAAACACAAAAUGUAUCAGAAUUGCUUCAAAACUUAUCAUGGAUAUCGUAGAAAAUUAUACACUAGGAUUUUGAUUUCUUUUGCAAGAAAUUUGUUCCUCGAUGUAUAUAAAUUCAUAUAAAUCAAAUACCACUGUGUAAUAUGUUAUAAUAUAUACCACGUUUACGCAACGAAGUGCCGCCUUGUUGCUGCUAAUUAACCUUUCCUUCUGAAUAGAAUCUUCUGAUUCUACUUUCUAUGCAAUACCAAUAUUCUCUUCACGAAAAAUAAAUAAAUUUGAAUAAUGAAAUACCAAAAAAAGAUCACUCCCCCAAAAGGGGAUAAACAAAAUUAGAUGUUUACAAAGUAAAAUAAUCGAAAGGAUAUGGAUCUGGAGAAUGAUCGAUAGGAGGAAUUAAAAGCAAAUGAAUAAUCAAGAAGAAAAUCAUGAAUAUCAAUUAAGAUGAAUAUCAAUAUAGAUUACUGUGGAUGAUAUAAUAUCUCAUUAAUAUCUCAAAAAUAGUAGAAAUAAAUGACAGGAAAACAUUGAUUUGAUAUUUGAGUUUAUUGUAUUCAUUGAAAUGGAUUACAUGAUAUUGAUUCUGAAUCUGGUAGUCUUCCAUGCAAGUUUUUCGAAGACCCAGAAUAGGGAACAUCCAAGAUAAUAUAUAAGCCCCCAAUUAGCCGCGAUAAUGGUAUGUAUAUCAUAUAUAUCAUUUUAAAGAAGAUGAUUUCGAGAAGAUUCAAUUUACUAUUAGACUAUCAAUUUCAACGCAUUAUUCAGGGCUAAUUGUUUUUAUAUAGUCAGUUGAGUAAGAUGUAAUUAUUAAUAGAGGGACAUAGAACUAUCUUCGCUAGUCGUUUUUAAGUUCAUUACAUAUUGUUUUCAAUUAGUUUAGCGAUAAUUUUAUAUAAUAUUUCUUCCUAUAUAUACGUUUUGUAUGUGUGUUUAAACCCACAAACACACAUAUAUGUGUAUAUAUAUAUAUGCAUAUAUAUAUAUAUCUUACUAUAUACUAAAAUUUAAUCAUGUUUACAUACAUACUUAUUCAUAUAAUUGUCUACAUGUUGAUAAAUUAUUUAUUCCGAUGUAUGCAACUCUAAAUAUAUAAGUAAAAUUAAAAUCAAAAAGAAAAGUAAACGAUAAAUUAAAAUCAAAGAAAAAAGUUUAAUUAAAAAAAAAAAGAACAUGAAAGAAAAAA